UACAGAGGUCCCAAGCGUUGUUCGGAUUUAUUGGGCGUAAAGGGUGCGUAGGCGGUUGCCUAAGUCAGAUGUGAAAUCCCGGGGCUCAACCUCGGAACUGCAUUUGAUACUGGGUAACUUGAGUACUGGAGGGGAGACUGGAAUUUACGGUGUAGCAGUGAAAUGCGUAGAUAUCGUAAGGAAGACCAGUGGCGAAGGCGGGUCUCUGGACAGUUCCUGACGCUGAGGCACGAAGGCCAGGGGAGCAAACGGG
rnacentral:rRNA from 1 species